GACGAACGCUGGCGGCGUGCUUAACACAUGCAAGUCGAACGGAAAGGCCCUGCUUGCAGGGUACUCGAGUGGCGAACGGGUGAGUAACACGUGGGUGAUCUGCCCUGCACUUCGGGAUAAGCCUGGGAAACUGGGUCUAAUACCGGAUAGGAGCCAUUUUUAGUGUGAUGGUUGGAAAGUUUUUUCGGUGUAGGAUGAGCUCGCGGCCUAUCAGCUUGUUGGUGGGGUAAUGGCCUACCAAGGCGGCGACGGGUAGCCGGCCUGAGAGGGUGGACGGCCACAUUGGGACUGAGAUACGGCCCAGACUCCUACGGGAGGCAGCAGUGGGGAAUAUUGCACAAUGGGCGCAAGCCUGAUGCAGCGACGCCGCGUGGGGGAUGACGGCCUUCGGGUUGUAAACUCCUUUCGCUAGGGACGAAGCUUUUGGUGACGGUACCUAGAAGAAGCACCGGCUAACUACGU
rnacentral:rRNA from 1 species